rnacentral:rRNA from 1 species
AACGAACGCUGGCGGCAGGCUUAACACAUGCAAGUCGAGCGCCCCGCAAGGGGAGCGGCAGACGGGGGAGUAACGCGUGGGAAUCUGCCCAUCUCUACGGAAUAACGCAUGGAAACGUGUGCUAAUACCGUAGACGUCCUUCGGGAGAAAGAUUUAUCGGAGAUGGAUGAGCCCGCGUUGGAUUAGCUAGUUGGUGGGGUAAAGGCCUACCAAGGCGACGAGCCAUAGCUGGUCUGAGAGGAGGAUCAGCCACACUGGGACUGAGACACGGCCCAGACUCCUACGGGAGGCAGCAGUGGGGAAUAUUGGACAAUGGGCGCAAGCCUGAUCCAGCCAUGCCGCGUGAGUGAUGAAGGCCCUAGGGUUGUAAAGCUCUUUCGCCGGUGGAGAUAAUGACGGUAACCGGAGAAGAAGCCCCGGCUAACUUCGUGCCAGCCGCCGCCGUAAUAC